AGCUAAUACUUGCUUUAAUGCUCCCGACGUGUUACGUCUUGUGAGCAUGUACUUGUUAAGCCUUUAUAAGAAAAAAGUUAAUAACUUAAGGAAUGAUAACAAAGAAGUGACACAUAAAAAGGACUCGUCCCAUUUUCUAGUGCGUAUCAAUCGAGUUUCUGACCUAUCAGCUUUUGAUGUUAGGGUAUUGGCCUAACAUGGCUAUGACGGGUAACGGGGAAUUAGAGUUCGAUUCCGGAGAGGGAGCCUGAGAAAUAGCUACCACAUCUAAGGAAGGCAGCAGGCGCGUAAAUUACCCAAUUCUAAAGAAGAGAGGUAGUGACAAGAAAUAACAAUACAAGACCAAAACUGGUUUUGUAAUUGGAAUGAUUGGAAUUUAAAUCCUUCCCAUAAUACAAUUGGAGGGCAAGUCUGGUGCCAGCAGCCGCGGUAAUUCCAGCUCCAAUAGCGUAUAUUAAAAUUGUUGCAGUUAAAACGCUCGUAGUUGAAUUUCAAAGAAUCGAUAUUUUAAGUAACGCUUUUAGCUUAAUCCACAUAACUGAUACUACGUAUCGACUUUGUGCGCAUUUUGCUAUUAUGUGUUCUUUUAAUUAAAAUGAUUCUUUUUAAGGUCUUUCUUUUGCUCCGGCAUUUGAAGAUCUUGUUACUUUGAGUAAAUUAGAGUGUUCAAAGCAAACAGAUAUAGCAUUGCGCGUUUGAAUACUACAGCAUGGAAUAACAAAAUUGAACAAGUCAGAAUUUUGUUCUUUUUUCUUAUUUUGGCUUAGUUACGAUUAAUAGGAGUAGCUUGGGGGCAUUUGUAUUCAGAUGUCAGAGGUGAAAUUCUUAGAUUUUCUGGAGACAAACAACUGCGAAAGCAUUUGCCUAAAAUACUUCCAUUAAUCAAGAACGAAAGUUAAGGGAGUGAAGACGAUCAGAUACCGUCGUAAUCUUAACCAUAAACUAUGCCGACUAGGCUUUGGAUGAAAGAUUUUAAAAUAAGAGUUUUUUCUCUGAGGAGUUAAAACUCUUAGAUUGCUUCCUUCAGUGCCUUAUGAGAAAUCAAAGUCUUUGGGUUCUGGGGCGAGUAUUCGCGCAAGCGAGAAAGUUAAAAGAAUUGACGGAAGGGCACCACCAGGCGUGGAGCUUGCGGCUUAAUUUGACUCAACACGGGAAAACUCACUAGUUUAAGACAAGAGUAGGAUUGACAGAUUAAUAGCUCUUUCUUGAUUUCUUGGAUGGUGAUGCAUGGCCGUUUUUAGUUCGUGAAUAUGAUUUGUCUGGUUAAUUCCGAUAACGAACGAGAUCUUAACCUGCUAAUUAGCGGCAAAUACGAUAUAUUCUUAUGUGGGAUUGAAUACGGUUGAUUUGCUUAUUUUGAAGAAAAUAUUGGGAUGCGUAAAGUGUCCCUUUCCCUUUUCUACUUAAUUCGCUUAUCAUACUGUUUCUCUUUCGCGUAAGAAUGUAUUUGCUUGAUUGUAAAGCUUCUUAGAGGAACGAUGUGUGUCUAACACAAG
rnacentral:rRNA from 1 species